GAGUGUAAUCAUAUCAGCGUUAAUGCGUCGGAUCCCAUCUGAACUCUGCAGUUAAGUGCGCUUGGGCUAGAGUAGUACUGGGAUGGGUGACCUCUUGGGAAGUCCUAGUGUUGCACCCU
rnacentral:rRNA from 1 species